rnacentral:piRNA from 1 species
UUCUGUUCCUCCUGUGAUUCUGUUAGC